AGGGCAAGCCCAAAAUAGGAUCUUUUAUAACUGCAACCAAUCCGAUAACGGUCUGGCUGUGCUUGUACAUCUGCCUUAUAAAUACUUGCCCCUGGCAAUUGUUUUCAUCAAAACAGGUGCCUGAGGCACUCUGCGUAUUUUCAGGAUGGCUGAGCUCUCUGGGAUGCUCAACUUUGGUGGGAGGAUCUUGAAGAGGAUAGUUACCCUUGUGAAUAAUUCAAGAAGUCAAGAAACGAAUCAAACUCCUCCAACUCUUCAAACUCCUCAGCCUGCAAUGGUGAACGUGUUGUAUGCACCAGCUCUCAAUAUACAUAUUGAAAACCCAAACACGAGUUGCACAUUCGUCCCCCAAAAACAUUUGGCUAAAACCGAGUAAGGCUAAAGAUGCUGGAUUAAAAGUCCUCCUCUUUCUGAGCUUCCACACCCCAGGCUCCUCCCUUCUGGAUAAACCAAGGAAAAUGUCUCUCCAAAUGCUUGCAAUCUGGACUUCAUGCUUCCUUUCAGCCUGGUAAAUCCCUCUAUUAAUAUACUGAAAAGAAGAUAAGAAUUGUAAGUGGAUUUUAACUAUGAGCUCUACUCUAGGCAGAUGCGCAUUUGUAUGUGCGUGCAGCAUUCACACCCAUGUAUUAUAAUGCUCACACCAGAGGGCUUCCCUGCAUGACAGCCUAUAGGGCUUCACUCGCUCAAUUGUUAAUUCAUCUAAUAAAUAUGUGCUAAACACUU